GAUGAAGAACGUAGCGAAAUGCGAUAAGUAAUGUGAAUUGCAGAAUCCAGUGAAUCAUCGAAUCUUUGAACGCACAUUGCGCCCGCCAGCAUUCUGGCGGGCAUGCCUGUUCGAGCGUCAUUUCAACCCUCGACCUCCCUUUGGGGAAGUCGGCGUUGGGGACCGGCAGCACACCGCCGGCCCUGAAAUGGAGUGGCGGCCCGUCCGCGGCGACCUCUGCGUAGUAAACCAACUCGCACCGGAACCCCGACGUGGCCACGCCGUAAAACACCCAACUUCUGAACGUUGACCUCGAAUCAGGUAGGACUACCCGCUGAACUUAAGCAUAUCAAUAAGCGGAGG
rnacentral:misc_RNA from 1 species